AACGAACGCUGGCGGCAUGCCUAACACAUACAAGUCGAACGAGACCUUCGGGUCUAGUGGCGCACGGGUGCGUAACGCGUGGGAAUCUGCCCUUGGGUUCGGGAUAACAGUUGGAAACGACUGCUAAUACCGGAUGAUGUCUUCGGACCAAAGAUUUAUCGCCCAAGGAUGAGCCCGCGUAGGAUUAGCUUGUUGGUGAGGUAAGAGCUCACCAAGGCGACGAUCCUUAGCCGGUCUGAGAGGAUGAUCAGCCACACUGGGACUGAGACACGGCCCAGACUCCUACGGGAGGCAGCAGUGGGGAAUAUUGGACAAUGGGCGAAAGCCUGAUCCAGCAAUGCCGCGUGAGUGAUGAAGGCCUUAGGGUUGUAAAGCUCUUUUACCCGGGAUGAUAAUGACAGUACCGGGAGAAUAAGCCCCGGCUAACUCCGUGCCAGCCGCUGCCGUAA
rnacentral:rRNA from 1 species